rnacentral:rRNA from 1 species
AGUGAACGCUGGCGGCAGGCCUAAUACAUGCAAGUCGAACGGCAGCACAGCAGAGCUUGCUCUGUGGGUGGCGAGUGGCGGACGGGUGAGGAAUACGUGGGAAUCUGCCCAGUCGUGGGGGAUAACGUAGGGAAACUUACGCUAAUACCGCAUGCGCCCUUCGGGGAAAGCCGGGGACCUUCGGGCCUGGCGCGAUUGGAUGAGCCCACGUCGGAGUAGCUAGUUGGCGGGGUAAAGGCCCACCAAGGCGACGAUCCGUAGCUGGUCUGAGAGGAUGAUCAGCCACACUGGAACUGAGACACGGUCCAGACUCCUACGGGAGGCAGCAGUAGGGGAAUAUUGGACAAUGGCGCAAGCCUGAUCCAGCCAUGCCGCGUGAGUGAAGAAGG